GUCUACGGCCAUACUACCCUGAAUGUGCCCAAUCUCGUCUGAUCUGGAAAGCUAACCAGUGUUGGGCCUGGUUAGUACUUGGAUGGGAUACUUAUCCUGUAAGCC
rnacentral:rRNA from 1 species